AGUGGGGCCCACAGCCACACCAUCUGAAUGCGCCCAAGCUCGUCUGAUCUCAGAGGCUAAGCAGGGUCAGGCCUGGUUAGUACUUGGAUGGGAGAUUUCAGUGGAUAGUCACAUGCCCCAUCA
rnacentral:rRNA from 1 species